GCUGGGCGUGGUGGCGCAUGCCUGUAGUCCCAGCUACUCAGGAGGCUGAGGUGGGAGGAUCACUUGAGCCCGGGAGGUCAAGGCUGCAGUGAGCCAUGAUCACACCACUGCACCCCAGCCUGGGUGACAGAGUGAGACCCUGUCUCAA
rnacentral:SRP_RNA from 1 species